rnacentral:misc_RNA from 1 species
GAACAGCAAUUCCUAGGUCCACCUGAAGAUCAUGAUAGAGUCGGCUCAGUUAGUAAAAUCAAAACUAUAAAAAGAAAUAUUAACAAAUUUGUACACUACGAAUGCACAUGAAGCCAGCCACAGAAUCUACUGAUGCAGGUUCAUGAUAUGCCAAAAAAGGGCAAAUUCCAGGAUUUUGAUAUACGGAUGAUUGUUUUAUUCCUAGCAUAGCAAACCUGGAUGCUUGAUUAAUGAGAGUUGAAAUUACUAGGCUUGAGGAUUGUUUUGUGAUUCAAGUUUUUCAAUUAACUUGAUAAAUGUAAUCUAUAAGAAGUCUCAAGAUAUCAAUCAAUUUUUAGUUUAACAUCAAUCAAUCUUUAGUUCCAUGGUCAGAAUUUAUUAGCUGAAGUCUUGAAUCUUUUAGGAAUAAUAUACACAUUUCUAGAUAAUUUUACAAGCAGGAGUUACUUAAUUCACUUGUAUCUUUAUUUUUCUGGAAUCCACCCAAGAUCUGUCUAGGGAAGUGGAUUGCUUCCACCACAUUUAUUUCCAUCUUAAAUUACCAUCCAAUAUCCUAAUAUUUCUGUUUUAAUUUCCUCAGCUGUGCAGGUUGUAGCCAUAUAGCUGGUUAUCAAGAUCAGUGUAGUAUAAAAAUUGACUUAUUUUUUCAAGUUCUGAAAACAAAAAUUCAUAAAUAGCAAGAAGUGACUGACCGCUCCCUUUCCACCAUGGGCA